GUGCACCAGGCGAGAAACCUCCGCAAUGCGGGAAACCGCGACGGGGACCCCGAGUGCCGUGGCAACGCCACGGCUUUUCCGGAGUGUAAAAGCUCCGGGAAUAAGGGCUGGGCAAGGCCGGUGGCAGCCGCCGCGGUAAUACCGGCGGCCCGAGUGGUGGCCGCUAUUAUUGGGCCUAAAGCGUCCGUAGCCGGGCCCGUAAGUCCCUGGCGAAAUCCCACGGCUCAACCGUGGGGCUUGCUGGGGAUACUGCGGGUCUUGGGACCGGGAGAGGCGGGGGGUACCCCUGGGGUAGGGGUGAAAUCCUAUAAUCCCAGGGGGACCGCCAGUGGCGAAGGCGCCCCGCUGGAACGGGUCCGACGGUGAGGGACGAAGGCCAGGGGAGCAAACC
rnacentral:rRNA from 1 species